rnacentral:rRNA from 1 species
GACGAACGCUGGCGGCGUGCUUAACACAUGCAAGUCGAGCGGUAAGGCCCUUUCGGGGGUACGACGAGCGGCGAACGGGUGAGUAACACGUGGGUGACCUGCCCUCAGCUCUGGGAUAAGCCUGGGAAACUGGGUCUAAUACCGGAUAUGACUCCAUGACGCAUGUUGUGGGGUGGAAAGCCUUGUGCGGCUGAGGAUGGGCCCGCGGCCUAUCAGCUUGUUGGUGGGGUGAGGCCUACCAAGGCGACGACGGGUAGCCGGCCUGAGAGGGCGACCGGCCACACUGGGACUGAGACACGGCCCAGACUCCUACGGGAGGCAGCAGUGGGGAAUCUUGCGCAAUGGGCGAAAGCCUGACGCAGCGACGCCGCGUGAGGGAUGACGGCCUCGGUUGUAA